UACGUAGGGUGCGAGCGUUAAUCGGAAUUACUGGGCGUAAAGCGUGCGCAGGCGGUUUUGUAAGACAGAUGUGAAAUCCCCGGGCUUAACCUGGGAACUGCGUUUGUGACUGCGAGACUGGAGUGCGGCAGAGGGGGGUGGAAUUCCACGUGUAGCAGUGAAAUGCGUAGAGAUGCGGAGGAACACCGAUGGCGAAGGCAACCCCCUGGGUCGACACUGACGCUCAUGCACGAAAGCGUGGGUACCAAACAGGAUCAGAUACCCGCGUAGUCC
rnacentral:rRNA from 1 species